rnacentral:rRNA from 1 species
AUUGAACGCUGGCGGCAGGCCUAACACAUGCAAGUCGAACGAGUGGCGGACGGGUGAGUAAUGUCCGGGAAACUGCCCGAUGGAGGGGGAUAACUACUGGACACGGUAGCUAAUACCGCAUACCAUCGGAUGUGCCCAGAUGGGAUUAGCUAGUAGGUGGGGUAACGGCUCACCUAGGCGACGAUCCCUAGCUGGUCUGAGAGGAUGACCAACCACACUGGAACGAAGACACGGUCCAGACUCCUACGGGAGGCAGCAGUGGGGAAUAUUGCACAAUGGGCGAAAGCCUGAUGCAGCCAGGCCGCGUGUAUGAAGAAGGCCUUCGGGUUGUAAAGUACUUUCAGCGAGGAGGCGUUACGCGCAGAAGAAGCACCGGCUAACUCCGUGCCAGCAGCCGCGGUAAUUC